rnacentral:rRNA from 1 species
GACGAACGCUGGCGGCGUGCUUAACACAUGCAAGUCGAACGGAAAGGCUCCAGCUUGCUGGAGUACUCGAGUGGCGAACGGGUGAGUAACACGUGGGUGAUCUGCCCUGCACUUCGGGAUAAGCCUGGGAAACUGGGUCUAAUACCGGAUAGGACCGCACUUUGGUGUGUGUGGUGGAAAGGUUUUUCUGGUGUGGGAUGGGCUCGCGGCCUAUCAGUUUGUUGGUGGGGUAAUGGCCUACCAAGACGGCGACGGGUAGCCGGCCUGAGAGGGUGGACGGUCACAUUGGGACUGAGAUACGGCCCAGGCUCCUACGGGAGGCAGCAGUGGGGAAUAUUGCACAAUGGGGGAAACCCUGAUGCAGCGACGCCGCGUGGGGGAUGAAGGCCUUCGGGUUGGAAACUCCUUUCGCUAGGGACGAAGCUUUUUGUGACGGUACCUGGAGAAGAAGCACCGGCUAACUACGUG